rnacentral:lncRNA from 1 species
GUGAAAAAGAGGUGAGAACGACCCCAGGACAGAUCAAAGCCACGCUCCCAGCGCCUAUGUCCCGCCGCCGUUGCCGCCACCACCGUGCCCAGGAGAAAGGCUGAAGGUGAUGCUAAAGGAGAUAAAACCAAGAUGAAGGACAAACCACAGAGAAGAUCCACGAGGUUUUCUGCUAAACCUGCUCCUCCAAAGCCAGAGCCCAAACCUAAAAAGGCCCCUGCAAAGAAGGGAGAGAAGGUACCAAAAGGGAAAAGGGAAAAGCUGAAGCUGGCAAGGAGGGGAAUAACCCUGCAGAAAAUGGAGAUGCCCAAACAGACCAGACACAGAAAGCUGAAGGUGCUGCAGAUGCCAAGUGAAGUGUGUGCAUUUUUGAUAACUGUGUACUUCUGGU